UCAACUUGAGAGUUUGAUCCUGGCUCAGAACGAACGCUGGCGGCAUGCCUAAUACAUGCAAGUCGAACGCCUGGAGCAAUCCAGGAGUGGCGGACGGGUGAGUAACGCGUGGGAACCUGCCCAGCGGUGGGGAACAACCGAGGGAAACUUCGGCUAAUACCGCAUACGCCCUUACGGGGAAAGAUUUAUCGCCGUUGGAGGGGCCCGCGUCCGAUUAGCUAGUUGGUGAGGUAACGGCUCACCAAGGCGACGAUCGGUAACUGGUCUGAGAGGACGACCAGUCACACUGGGACUGAGACACGGCCCAGACUCCUACGGGAGGCAGCAGUAGGGAAUAUUGGACAAUGGGGGAAACCCUGAUCCAGCAAUGCCGCGUGAGUGAUGAAGGCCUUAGGGUUGUAAAGCUCUUUCGCCCGCGACGAUGAUGACGGUAGCGGGAGAAGAAGCCCCGGCUAACUUCGUGCCAGCAGCCGCGGUAAUACGAAGGGGGCUAGCGUUGUUCGGAAUUACUGGGCGUAAAGCGCACGCAGGCGGCGCGUUAAGUCAGGGGUGAAAGGCCUGGGCUCAACCCAGGAAUGGCCUUUGAGACUGACGCGCUCGAGUCCGGAAGAGGGUAGUGGAAUUCCCAGUGUAGAGGUGAAAUUCGUA
rnacentral:rRNA from 1 species